ensembl:lncRNA
AGUUCAUGUGCUCUAUUAUGAGCUUAUCUUAACUAGUGAUUACAUGCUGCCUCCUGUCCAGUAUUAUCAUUUCAAAUAUCAAUCUUCAGCCCUAGACAACGCUCUCCAGGUAAUUCUCUUUUCCCUUUAUGUUCAUCUGUAUUAUACUGACAGUGGUGGUAUUGUUAUUCCUCGCCAUGUUAUUACCGCCUGCAGAGAUCUGAAGCUUAAAGAACGACACAAGAAGUUAGGUCCUUGCUUUUAAGUUUUCUUGAUAAAGCAAGUGAUGAUCCAAUUAAUGAGGUUCACUCAGAAACAGGUAUGUUCACAUAUCUGUUAAACAGCCUCUUUAAAUACAAUGAGAGUACACAUUGGAGUGACCGUUGCACAUUGUGGAAUGUGUAUUCUGCAAUUACUGAUUAUCUUUCAAGUAUUGCACCUCAUGUUUGCUGGAUUUUAUGUAAGGGAAGGGCUUCAUGCCAGAUUCUCCAAGUUAACAGCUGUACUUAGUCUCCAGAUCUGUCUCCAUUCAGCAGCUGUUGUUACAGGCGAACUCUGCUAUUUGUUCAUUCACAUCGCCACAUGGCCAAGUUGUGGAAAAGUGAGUAAUUUUUGACCUUCACUUGUUAAAGUUUAUAGAGGCUUUGUUUUCUGGAAGAGGUAGAGGGAAGUGAGUUAACAUGAUACACAAACUCAGGGUCAAAAUAUCAAACUGCUCAAUUACAUAAAAGAUGAGUUCAUAGAAGGCUUUUGCAUACCUUUGCAUUUCCCAACGCUUCGUUACUCUUUUGUGCUAACGGUUAAUUGUAUCUUCUCUUUAGCUGAAUGGUAUUAUUGGUAGUAACCACCAGCCAGACAUAGCAUUGCUGCCCUCUGUUUAUAAACAACUGUCUUGUGUGUAUAUGGUCCCUUUUCCAAGUUAGUGUGAAAGCAGAUGGAUUUCUGGUUAGUGCAGAGCUACAACAAAAUACUAUUAAUCAGCAGAUUUUAAUUAAAGAGUUUCAGCUUCUAAUUAAGUGAGGAGAUCUCAAUUACCACAGUAGAUCAAUAGAUUCUGUGAGGCUCUAAGGACUGUCUGUCCAUUGACUUUUCCUCGCAAAUGACAAAAAUCUUGCAAAAUUGUAUCCUGUGUUUUUAAUAAGAGUUGAUGUUGGGAAUAGAAUAAAACUAGUCCGAAAUAAAAAACUUAUUUUGAGCCUGCUAGAGUAUCCCUGACACUUAUACCAUCUGAAGAUUGGAGGGUCCUGAGCACAUCCUCCAGCAUUAUGCAAUGCAGGUGACUGUGUCCUCUUUCCUAGGAAAUGCCUACAGUCCUAACAUCACCCAGGUGACUGCAGAGACUGCCAUAACAGUAUGUUGAUAGUCCAUAAAACGUGGCCACAUCCACAUUUUUACAUAGAACGGUGUUGUGCUCUUGAAGCGAGUCCCUUUAUUAUUUCUGCCUCUGUGCUAUGCUUCACAUCACGGGUUGGGUUUGGUGUGUAAUAACUGUCCUGAGGAAACUCAACACUGUGUGCACCAAAAGCAUGCCAGUGUCUUAUAAAGGUUUGAGUCAGUGGCUGGGCUGCAAAGCCAGGUUCCUACAAUAGCUGCUGAAUGGACAUGGACCAACAGAAGGGACUCAACACAUUUUGGUAGUCAGCAUUGCACCCCGAAGUGCUUCUUAGCUUAUGUGAAGGACCAAAUGGUGUAUGCAUCUUCCUGUUGCUGUGUACCUCUACCCUUCAGCUCUUUGCAAUUUUCACCUCCCUUUUCAAGUGAAACCUCUCCUGUCACUUUCUUUCCCUGCCCUGCAUUUUUUCUGGCGGUCACCCAGCUGAAUUCUUUCUCUUCCAAAGCACUGAUGCAAGCCUGUUUUUCAUAUCCUCCCUUUAUCCUGCUCACAGUGAUAACAAAGUCAAUGCUUUCACACACCAAGUAGAUAGAGCAUGGCAUAGUCUGGGGCCCUAAGGCAACAACAGCAUCUGCUGUAGGUAAGGAAGCAGGAGGAUACCCAGACUACAUGGAAACACCAGGAAGUUGCUAAUGUAAUUUUGGUUCCUCCUGGGCCUGAUGGGGCUGGGCAUCAGCGUUGCCUAAAAUUCAAGAAAAUUAAGGACAUAUCCUGGCUCCCACUUUUACACUCAUAUCCUGUGUUCCAGAGUUGUCAAAUGGCACAGUCUUGGCAAGAGAGAAGUUUUGUGCCAUCAGUUUGCAGUCCCCGUCCCUGAACACUACAGAAGAGCUUUGGGAAGAGUGUAUCUACAUCCAGGAGUGACUUUUCUCCUGUCUUGCCUCCCUGGCAGUCUUCCUGCUGUCUAAAAGUGGAUCAAAGGUACAAGAGAGAAAUCUGGUAGUCCACAUCUUGUAAACUCAACACAACUGACAUCACAUGGCUACAGUGUCGGCGAGCC